UUCCAAGUUCCAGCCCUCUCUCUGUGUCUUCGAACUGUAGACGGGCGACCUUAACAAGCCGGCGACGAGGAACGGCAGUGGCAGUUGCGGCGGCGAAGGCGAGGCAGCGGUGGCCGACUGAGGCGAGGCAGCGGUUGCAGGUUCUUCGUCUCUCUAUCUCUCUCUCUCUCGUCCAGCAGAUCGAAGGCGAGGGCGAGGCGUGGUGGCCGGCCAGUCGCGACGAGCAGACAGCGGUGGCCGGCGGAGGCGAGGCAGCGUUUGCAGGUUCUUCCUCUCUCUCUCUCUCUUUCUCGUCCAGCAGAUCGAAGGCGAGGGCGAGGCGUGGUGGCCGGCCAAUCGCGACGAGCAGACAGCGGUGGCCGGCGUUGUAGCGGAUCGACGGUGUCCCAGGCGGUGGUAGCUGCUGCGGCGUAGGCGACGAUGUCCCGGCGGUGGCAGCGGCAGUUUUGGGGACUAUGUUUCUGAUCAAGUUGUUGCACCUGUUCGAGAAACAUGUGCUCAAGCAUUAGGUGAUGUGCUUAAGUACAUGCAUCCUACUUUAGUGUACCAGACACUAAGUAUCUUGCUGCAAAUGCAGGAAAUGCUUCAUGAUUUGCUUUGCUAUGUUCUCCCAGCAUGUAAAAGUGGGGCUUGAGGAUGCUGACGAUGAUGUUCGAGCUGUGUCUGUAGAUGCUCUAAUACAAACUGCAGCUGAUGAUAUUGUUUCAUUAAAAAGUGAAAUAUUGCAUUCUAUUGUUAUGCUACUCUGGGACAUUUUACUUGACCUAGAUGAUUUGAGCCCAUCUACUAGCAGUUGUGUGUGUGCGUGUUUUUAAGCGACCCAUUUCUCAUUUAUAAAAAAAUUAAAACUGUCAUGAAUCUUCUUGUAUUAUUUAUUUUCAAUCUAAUCGCUCAGACCAAUAUUUAGCUUUA